UGUGGAGUGGAGCAGUUGGUUAGCUCGUUGGCCUCAUAAGCCAAAGGUCGCCGGUUCGAGUCCGGCCUCCGCAA
rnacentral:tRNA from 1 species